CCUACGGGAGGCAGCAGUGGGGAAUAUUGGGCAAUGGGCGCAAGCCUGACCCAGCGACGCCGCGUGAGGGAAGACGGUCUUCGGAUUGUAAACCUCUUUCAGCAGGGAAGACAAAAGGACGGUACCUGCAGAAGAAGCCACGGCUAACUACGUGCCAGCAGCCGCGGUAAUACGUAGGUGGCAAGCGUUAUCCGGAAUUACUGGGUGUAAAGGGUGUGUAGGCGGGUUUGCAAGUCAGAUGUGAAAUCUGGAGGCUCAACCUCCAAAUUGCAUUUGAAACUGUUUUUCUUGAGUACUGGAGAGGCAGACGGAAUUCCUUGUGUAGCGGUGAAAUGCGUAGAUAUAAGGAGGAACACCAGUGGCGAAGGCAGCUUACUAAACUGCCACUGACAUUGAUGCUCGAAAGUGUGGGUAUCAAACAGGAUUAGAUACCCGAGUAGUC
rnacentral:rRNA from 1 species